AAACUAACUUGGUGCCAGCACCACGGUGAUCACGAAUGCCCUCGCCCCAGUUGGAGGCUCGCCUUUGCACUUCGGCGUGUUGAAGCCUGCGACGAUCCCUAAUUGGGCUCGCUCG
rnacentral:snRNA from 15 species